GCGAGCAUGGCGGAAUUGGCAGACGCGAUGGUUUUAGGUACCAUUGGGAGACCGUGCAGGUUCGAGUCCUGUUGCUCGCA
rnacentral:tRNA from 1 species